GCGGAUGCGGACGGGUUUUACAAGGCCGACGAUUAUGGAUAUUUCCACUGGAAUGAAAAACAUGGCCAUUGGGAGAGGUGGUCCCUAAACAACAAUGAGUACAAAUAUGAGUAUGCGUACAAGUAUGAGAACGGGAAGGACUGUUACAACCACCAGCAUCAACCUGGUCAAGGGGCCAACUGGGAAAUAGAGGCUGGUUCUUCUCAGAUUGUCGAUGCUCCUGCCCAUCACCCCUUCCCUACUUCCUCUGAUCUCCCUCAGCAGAUCCAACCAGAGCAGCCUGGAGUCCUCACAGCAUUCCCUGGUCCCCUGGCAAACAUUGGGACUCUUGAGGAGAUGAUUGAGGUUGCAUGGCAGAAGUGUCAGGAGUACCAAUCUAUGUUCUUCAUGUGGUACUGUGUUACCCUUUUGUGCACACAGAGUAGGGCACAGGUACGUUUCUUCUUUAGAUGAGAGAGCAUGAGUCAGGAUGGAUGAUGAGGGAGAGGAUGAUUAUUAUGGUUUGCAUUUUCAUAAGUAAGCAAACAGGUAUAUUUUAGGCCAUGCGUCAAUUACAUUGUAAUUGAUUUGUGUUGUUUUUUAACUAACCUUCUGUUCUAUACCACUAUAUAUAGCCCAUCUCUCCACCAGCGAAGCCCAUCGUGGUCGAGCUUCCCAUCUCUCCACCAGCGAAGCCCAUCGUGGUUGAGUCGCCGAUCCCUCCACCACUGAAGCCCGUUGUGGUUGAGCUGCCCAUCUCUCCACCAGUGAAACCUAUCGUGGUUGAGCAGCCCGUCUCUCCACCCGUGAAGCCCAUCGUGGUCGAGUUUCCCAUCUCUCCACCAGUGAAGCCCAUCGUGGUUGAGCCACCGAUCUCUCCUCCAUUGAAGCCAAUCUUGGUUGAGGAGCCCAUCUCUCGACCAGUGAAGCCCAUCGUGGUGGAGCUGUCCAACUCUCCACCAGUGAAACCCUUCGUGGUUGAGCUGCCCAUUUAUCCACCAGUGAAGCCCAUCAUGGUUGAGCUGCCCAUCUCUCCACCAGUGAAACCCAUCAUGGUUGAGCCGCCUACCUCUCCACCAGUGAAGCCUGUCGUGGUUGAACGGCCCUUCUCUCCACCAGUGGAGCCCAUCAUGGUUGAGCUGCCCAUCUCUCCACCAGUGAAGCCUGUUGUGGUUGAGCUGCCCAUCUCUCCACCAGUGAAGCCUGUUGUGGUUGAGUCGCCGAUCCCUCCACCACUGAAGCCCGUUGUGGUUGAGCUGCCCAUUUCUCCACCAGUGAAGCCCAUUGUGGUUGAGCUGCCCAUCUCUCCACCAGUGAAACCUAUCAUGGUUGAGCAGCCCGUCUCUCCACCCGUGAAGCCCAUCGUGGUCGAGCUUCCCAUCUCUCCACCAGUGAAGCCCAUCGUUGUUGAGCCAACGAUCUCUCCUCUAGUGAAGCCAAUCUUGGUUGAGGAGCCCAUCUCUCGACCAGUGAAGCCCAUCGUGGUGGAGCUGUCCAACUCUCCAGCAGUGAAACCCUUCGUGGUUGAGCUGCCCAUUUAUCCACCAUUGAAGCCCAUCAUGGUUGAGCUGCCCAUCUCUCCACCAGUGAAACCCAUCAUGGUUGAGCCGCCUACCUCUCCACCAGUGAAGCCUGUCGUGGUUGAACGGCCCUUCUCUCCACCAGUGGAGCCCAUCAUGGUUAAGCUGCCCAUCUCUCCACCAGUGAAGCCUGUUGUGGUUGAGCUGCCCAUCUCUCCACCAGUGAAACCCAUCAUGUUUGAGCUGCCGAUCGCUCCAGUGGAAGCUGAGUCUCUUCAGAGAUUUGAGCCAAUGAAGGGUCUGACACAGCGAUAUAAAAAAAGAAAGACAGACAUGGAAACUUCAGUUCCACAGGCCAGAACUACUCUUCCUCCUCCCUCCCUAUCGGAUUAUUUCACUCCACCUACAACUCAGAGAUGUCAAAGGGCCCAGGAUUUCUUCCCUCCACCUCCAGUGGAGUCCAUCGUGGUUGAGGAGCCCAUCUCUCGACCAGUGAAGCCAAUCGUGGUGGAGCUGCCCAUCUCUCCAGCAGUGAAACCCUUCGUGGUUGAGCUGCCCAUUUAUCCACCAUUGAAGCCCAUCAUGGUUGAGCUGCCCAUCUCUCCACCAGUGAAACCUAUCAUGGUUGAGCAGCCCGUCUCUCCACCCGUGAAGCCCAUCGUGGUCGAGCUUCCCAUCUCUCCACCAGUGAAGCCCAUCGUUGUUGAGCCAACGAUCUCUCCUCUAGUGAAGCCAAUCUUGGUUGAGGAGCCCAUCUCUCGACCAGUGAAGCCCAUCGUGGUGGAGCUGUCCAACUCUCCAGCAGUGAAACCCUUCGUGGUUGAGCUGCCCAUUUAUCCACCAUUGAAGCCCAUCAUGGUUGAGCUGCCCAUCUCUCCACCAGUGAAACCCAUCAUGGUUGAGCCGCCUACCUCUCCACCAGUGAAGCCUGUCGUGGUUGAACGGCCCAUCUCUCCACCAGUGGAGCCCAUCAUGGUUAAGCUGCCCAUCUCUCCACCAGUGAAACCCAUCAUGGUUGAGCUGCCCAUCUCUCCACCAGUGAAACACAUCAUGUUUGAACUGCCGAUCGCUCCAGUGGAAACUGAGUCGCUUCAGAGAUUUGAGGGUCUGACACAGCGACAUAAAAAAAUAAAGAAAGACGUGGAAACUUCAGUUCCACAGGCCAGAACUACUCUUCCUCCUCCCUCCCUAUCGGAUUAUUCCCCACCACCUACAACUCAGAGAUGUCAAAGGGCCCAGGAUUUCUUCCCUCCACCUCCAGUGGAUUCCAUCGUGGUUGAGGAGCCCCUCUCUCGACCAGUGAAGCCCAUUGUGGUUGAGCUGCCCAUCUCUCCACCACCUAAUCCCAUUGUGGUUGAACGGCCCAUCUCUCCACCAGUGAAGCCCAUCGUGGUCGACCAUCCCAUCUCUCCACUAGUGAAGCCCAUAAUGGUUGAGCUGCCAAUCUCUCCACCAGUGAAGCUCACAGUGGUUGAGCUGCCCAUCUCUCCACCAGUGAAGCCUGUUGUGGUUGAGCUGCCCAUCUCUCCACCAGUGAAGCACGUCAUGUUUGAGCUGCCGAUCGCUCCAGUGGAAGCUGAGUCGCUUCAGAGAUUUAAGCCAAUGAAGGGUCUGACACAGCGAUAUAAAAAAAGAAAGACAGACAUGGAAACUUCAGUUCCACAGGCCAGAACUACUCUUCCUCCUCCCUCCCUAUCGGAUUAUUUCACUCCACCUACAACUCAGAGAUGUCAAAGGGCCCAGGAUUUCUUCCCUCCACCUCCAGUGGAGUCCAUCGUGGUUGAGGAGCCCAUCUCUCGACCAGUGAAGCCAAUCGUGGUGGAGCUGCCCAUCUCUCCACCAGUGAAGCCCAUUGUGUUUGAGCUGCCCAUCUCCCCACCACCUAAUCCCAUUGUGAUUGAACGGCCCAUCUCUCCACCAGUGGAGCCCAUUGUGGUUGAGCUGCCCAUCUCUCCACCAGUGAAACCCAUCAUGGUUGAGCUGCCCAUCUCUCCACCAGUGGAGCCCAUCGUGAUGGAGCUGCCCAAAUCUACACCAGUGAAACCCAUCAAGGUUGAUCAGCCCAUCUCUCCACCAGUGAAACCCAUCAUGGUUGAGCUGCCCUUCUCUCCACCAGUGAAACCCAUCAUGGUUGAGCUGCCCAUCUCUCCACCAGUGAAACCCAUCAUGGUUGAGCUGCCCUUCUCUCCACCAGUGAAACCCAUCAUGGUUGAGCUGCCCAUCUCUCCACCAGUGAAACCCAUCAUGGUUGAGCUGCCCUUCUCUUCACCAGUGAAGCCCAUCGUGGUUGAGCUGCCUAUCUCUCCACCAGUGGAGCCCAUCGCUGUUGAGCUGCCCAUCUCUCCACCAGUGAAGCCUGUUGUGGUUGAGCUGCCCAUCUCUCCACCAGUGAAGCCUGUUGUGGUUGUGCUGCCCAUCUCUCCACCAGUGAAACCCAUCAUGGUUGAGCUGCCCAUUUCUCCACCAGUGAAGCACGUCAUGUUUGAAUUGUCGAUUGCUCCAGUGGAAACUGAGUCGCUUCAGAGUUUUGAGGGUCUGACACAGCGACAUAAAAAAAUAAAGAAAGACGUGGAAACUUCAGUUCCACAGACCAGAACUACCCUGCCUCCUCCCUCCCUAUUGGAUUAUUUCCCUCCACCUACAACUCAGAGAUGUCAAAGGGCCCAGGAUUUCUUCCCUCCACCUCCAGUGGAGCCCAUCGUGGUUGAGGAGCCCAUCUCUCGACCAGUGAAGCCAAUCGUGGUGGAGCUGCCCAUCUCUCCACCAGUGGAGCCCAUUGUGGUUGAGCUGCCCAUCUCCCCACCACCUAAUCCCAUUGUGAUUGAACGGCCCAUCUCUCCACCAGUGGAGCCCAUUGUGGUUGAGCUGCCCAUCUCUCCACCAGUGAAACCCAUCAUGGUUGAGCUGCCCUUCUCUCCACCAGUGAAGCCCAUCGUGGUUGAGCUGCCUAUCUCUCCACCAGUGGAGCCCAUCGCUGUUGAGCUGCCUAUCUCUCCACCAGUGAAGCCUGUUGUGGUUGAGCUGCCCAUCUCUCCACCAGUGAAACCCAUCAUGGUUGAGCUGCCCAUCUCUCCACCAGUGAAGCACGUCAUGUUUGAGUUGUCGAUUGCUCCAGUGGAAACUGAGUCGCUUCAGAGUUUUGAGGGUCAGACACAGCGACAUAAAAAAAGAAAGAAAGACAUGGAAACUUCAGUUCCACAGGCCAGAACUACCCUGCCUCCUCCCUCCCUAUCGGAUUAUUUCCCUCCACCUACAACUCAGAGAUGUCAAAGGGCCCAGAAUGUCUUCCCUACACCUCCAGUGGAGCCCAUCGGGGUUGAGGAGCACAUCUCUCCACCAGUUAAUAUCAUCGUGAUGGAGCUGCCCAACUCUCCACCAGUGAAGUCCAUUGUGGUUGAGCUGCCCAUCUCUCCACCAGUGAAUCCCAUUUUUGUUGAGCUGCCCAUUUCUCCACUUGUGAAGCCCAUUGUGGUUGAGCUGCCCAACUCUCCACCAGUGAAGCCCAUUGUGGUUGAGCUGCCCAACUCUCCACCAGUGAAGCCCAUUGUGGUUGAGCUGCCCAUAUCUCCACCAGUGGAGCCCAUUGUGGUUGAGCUGCCCAUCUCUCCACCUGUGAAUCCCAUUUUUGUUGAGCUGCCCAUUUCUCCACCUGUGAAGCCCAUCAUGGUUGAGCUGCCCACCUCUCCACCAGUGAAACCCGUCGUGGUUGAACGGCCCAUCUCUCCACCAGUGAAGCCUAUCUUGGUCGACCAUCCCAUCUCUCCACCAGUGAACCAACAGGAUCAACCUGGUCAAGGGGCCAACUGGGAAAUAGAGGCUGGUUCUUCUCAGAUUGUCGAUGCUCCUGUCCAUCUCCUCUUCCCUGCUUCCUCUGAUCUCCCUCAGCAGAUCCCACAGGAGCAGCCUGGAGUCCUCACAGCAUUCCCUGGUCCUCUUGCAAACAUUGGGACUCUUGAGGAGAUGAUUGAGGUUGCAUGGCAGAAGUGUCAGGAGUACCAAUCUAAGUUCUUCAUGUGGUACUUUGUUACCCUUUUGUGCACACAGAGUAGGGCACAGGUACGUUUCUUCUUUAGAUGA
rnacentral:lncRNA from 8 species